rnacentral:lncRNA from 13 species
AAACAUUAAGAAAGCCUUUCUAAUAUUGAGUUGUACAACCUCAUUUUGCUUUCAGAACAGACUUAAUUUGUCAGGGCAUGGACACUACAAGGUGUUGAAAGCGUUCAACAAGGAUGCUGGCCCAUGUUGACUCCAAUGCUUCUCACAGUUGUGUCAAGUUGACUGGAUGUUCUUGGGGUGGUGGAACAUUCUUGAUACACACGGGAAACUGUUGAGCAUGAAAAACCCAGCAACGUUGUGGUUCUUGACGCAAACUGGUGCACCUGGAACCUACUACCAUACCCUGUUCAAAGGCACUUAAAUAUUUUGUCUUGACUAUUCACCCUCUAAAUGGCACACAUACACAAUCCUUGUCUCAAUUGUCUCAAGGUUUAAAAAUCCUUCUUUAACCUGUCUCCUCCCCUUCAUCUACACUGAUUGAAGUGGAUUUAAUAAGUGACAUCAAUCAGGGUUCAGGGCUUUCACCUAGUCAGUCUAUGUUAUAGAAUGUUUUGUCCACUCAGUGUAUAUAGCCAUGCUGAUCUCUGUGACAUGUUCAACCGAUUACAAAGGCCACUGUGUAUAACCCAUCUUGGGAGCUGUAUUAACCAGUGCCUUAUGUCCUCCUCUCCCUCCUCAGUGGCCUCUCCUACCCCUGAGCCUGUCCACAGUGUGGGGGCAAGGCUGCACGGGUCAUGGGCGUCUGGUGGCUCGGACCCUCCAGAGGAGUGUAUGGUCUCAACGCUGGAGCGGCAGCAUAUGGCCUCCUGGAGCGGCAGAUCCUCUAACAUGGCCACUCUGGGCAGGACACGCCACAGGGCUGCGGCUGGCGCGGGCACAGACCACCCACAUAACAUCCACCCGCCUCCCAACAGCACCGAGCAUAGCUAUGGAGAACGAUAGUCUUUGUGAGUCGGUGCUGCCUGUGCUGCCUGUCCCAGGACACCUUGUCUAUAAGUGCAAUGAGAUUUCCCCUCUGCGAAUGCUACAGGAUGGAAUAUAAAGAGAAGGCUGGAAGAUGAAAGAGAGAGAAAGAGGGAGCCAGAGAGAAACGCAGAGCUGUACAUGUGAUGUACAGACACACAGACACACAUCUCAGUGUUCUUUUUACAGUGUUACUUUCAUCCCUCCUUCCAAAAGAAUAUACUGUAUAUCACAUGCCCCUCCUAUUUCAUGUCACAUGAUGUACAGUAACUCACUCCACAUUAAUGAAAAAUAAAAAUCUCUGCAGUUAAACUAUUGACUCAUGAAAGUGUAAGGACUUGCUUUUCCUGUAAAUAGGUUUUGUAUUUUCAGUUUUUUUUUAUUUUCUUUGCUAUGCAAGCCAAAUUCUGACUAUGAAGUUGUCUCGUUUACUUGUCAUUUUACAUUGUGAGUUGAUGGACUGUGGUGCCACAUUUGUUUUUCAUAAAUGCUCGAAAUAUUGCUUCAUUUUGAUGAAACUGCUGUUUUGUUGUUUGCACAGAGCGUUUUGUGAUGAUAAGCACAAAGUCAUCAGCUGAGGCUCAGAGAAGAAUGAUGAAGAGGAGUGUCUAUAAUAUACCUUACAUUUAAGAAAUAUAAUAUUCGACACAGUAAAUGCUUUUCAGAGACAGAUGUAUUGAGAGAUAUAAGAAACACAAAGAAAUUCAGUAAUUAAACAGAAAUUCAAUUCUACGCCCACAUAGAAAAUGUAAUGUUUUGUUUUUCAAUUUGCAGUUGUCCGUGGGGAUGAUGUGACAGAUGUGCAAUGUUGCCCAUACACUAUAUGCUCAUUACAGUGAGACAGCAGUACUUGGAACCCUCCAAAUAAUGACAGUUCAGAAUAAUCAAUAAAGUUAAACCAUCUAUGUGUAACAUUACAAAUGGAACUGUUAAUGCAGAGGCCGAGGACGAUAGCUAGUUGUUGAUAGGGAGGUGUUGGGCCCAUAGAGCACCACUCAGGUGUGGUCAGGUGUGGACAGUUGUGUGCACAGAUGGACUCUGUCAGUGUUACCCAUGGGGACAGAGUGAUAACACAGUGAGACAGGUCUUAAGAUGAAGAGAUGUUGGCCUUUAGAAAUCUAGCUAAUCCUGGACUGGGUUUCCAGAGCUCUAAGUGACUAGCAAGCAUGAUUAACAACAAUAUGCAAUUAGAUUAUAAUAAUAGACCCAUCAUAGAUGUGAUGGCCGCCUGUUUUAAUCCUAGUGGUGCGGUAUAAUGUGGCCCCUUUAUCACCCUGGUAACAGACUGGUAACAGAUGAACGCUCAUCAGGACACGUAUGGUUACCUAGGCAUAGUGAGCCCCUUGCCAAGUAAGGAAAUCCUUAACACUGUAACCAGUCACGGAGGGCAGCUGGUUGCUAGUUCUUGCCUACAAGAUUCAUAAUGCAGUGUUUUGGUUCCCUUCUUUGUAUGGUUAUUUUCUGGUUGUUCUUUGUAUUGGCUCCACCUGUAAAAACUCUGUACCUGCCAGAGUCCGGUCUGCCCUCAGGAAUACACAUACAGUGUGGCCAGUCCUACGAUACAAAUAAAAUGUGUAUGUGGAAUCAACCAUGAGUCUCUGUGCUAUGCGUGUGAGUUGAUGGUCCAAGAUAUUCUCCUCAUAUGAUAAUUGUUCAUGCUGAUUUUCUUAAUACUGAUUUUCCCAUUAGGACAUUAUGUGCAUACACUUAUAAGCGCCACAUUAGCAUAAUGUACACACUUCUAACAGGAUCAGAGAUUAGUUACAUAUGAAUAAGAACAAUACUCGGUCUCCCUCUCUCAAGCGUCUCUGUGUUAAAUCGGUCUUAGUCAGAGCUAAGGGGAAAAUAAAAUAAUUAUUACUCCAUUUUUAUGCAUCCAUCCCUUCACUCUCUUUUUUCCUACACCAGAACACAUUUACUCACUGGAGAAAAUGUCAGCGUUAUCUCCAUUUACCAAGAAAAUAUUGAACACAACUCUAGCAUCGGCGAUUUGGGCAUUUCAUGAUACAACGAAAUAUGACGAUGAUGAUUCUCUCCUUUAUUCCAGUUAUUUUCCAUCACCUUUAUGGGAUUUUGAAGAUGCAUGUGAAUUCAGUGGUGAUUACAUUUCAGACAUUUGUCGUUAGCAGUCGACAUACUAUAGCUCAUUUACUGCAUUCAAGAAAUGCAAUUGCAGUGAUUUAUAGAGUUAUGGUGGCUUUUCCUGGGGCAUCCAUGCCUUUCAACUCCAUUUGUCAUAUCACGUACUGUACACUCUACACCUAAUGAAUCACAACUGCUACAUGAGAUCACAUUUCUACUACAACUAUCCAAAUCACUGUUGCAUACUGCAUUGGCUCCAGCCUCUGUCACAUACGGUACAUCUCUCAUCUCUCUGGGCUAAGCCUGGCUGUUCCUACUGCCUCUGUCACAUACGGUACAUCUCUCAUCUCUCUGGGCUAAGCCUGGCUGUUCCUACUGCCUCUGUCACAUACGGUACAUCUCUCAUCUCUCUGGGCUAAGCCUGGCUGUUCCUACUGCCAAACACAGAGGAACAGGACACAACUCUAAUGACAGAAAUGGAAGCUAUAACGUAUUCCACCCCGCAUCCAUUUCUGUAAUAUCACCCUUCUUUACAUCCAUUGCAAUAACGAUUAACCUUGUCAGCUUAGUCAUCCAUCAUGUGUAACACCUUUCCUCUAUUCAGUGUUGCCAUUCCGUGUGUGGACAAAACCUUUGAAAUGAUUCUGUAGAGCCGUGGCCUUGGAGCUAGAACAGCUCAUUAAUGAGUCAUGAAAUUUGGCUGAUUGCAAAGUUUGAACAGUAAUCUUGUGUGAUGUGAUUACAUGGGCCACAGGACAGCAGCCAACGGAGGGAAGGAGAGGAUGGAGGUCCCAGUCUAGAGCACCAUUACCCCAGGUGGAGGGGGUGGAGGUCCCAGUAUAGAGCACCAUUACCCCAGGUGGAGGGGGUGGAGGUCCCAGUCUAGAGCACCAUUACCCCAGGUGGAGGGGAUGGAGGUCCCAGUCUAGAGCACCAUUACCCCAGGUGGAGGAGGUGGAGGCCCCAGUUUGCAGUACCAUUACCCCCAGGUGGAGGGGUGGAGGUCCCAGUCUAGAGCACCAUUACCCCAGGUGGAGGGGGUGGAGGCACCAGUCUGCAGUACCAUUACCCCUAGGUGGAGGGGGUAGAGGCCACAGUCUGCAGUACCAUAACCCCCAGGUGGAGGGGGUGGAAGCCCCAGUCUGCAGUACCAUUACCCCAGGUGGAGGGUGUGGAGGCCCAGUCUAUAGCACCAUUACUACGAUUUCUCGGCCAUCCUCACGCUCUGAUGUACCUAUGACACUAAUCUAGUGAGCACCUCCGCCCAAACAAGGCAUUUGAUUGGUUUGACAUGUUGCAAGGCGUCACUGAUUUACAUCGAUUUUUUAGCUGAUUUUGUGCCAUGAACUACACCAGGUUUGCCUUGAUCUCAACGAGGCUAUGUAGACCCUAACCCCAGAUGGAGGGGUAGGUAAAGACUGGGGGUCCUCUGAUCAACAGCUACCUCAGUGGCCAGUUUGUCUCCCACCGUCAUUGUUAAUCUCUCCCCCUGGAGUGGGCACUUCCAUGCUGGCUCUGUGAGGACCAACAUUACCUUUUCUAUGUCUCUGUGACACAGGCCAUUUCAUUCAAUGUGAAAUAUAGGCAACAUAUUAACAUGAAGUCAGUGUUGUGUGAUACAAAGACUGUGCAUUGUCACCAUGCUUGAAAUCAUUGUGUACCAUUAUGCAAUAUAGAUGAAAACCCCAUAACACAGUAUGUUGUAGUUUAAAUACUUUCGUAUAAAAUCAUUUAUGAGACAGGAUUUCUGUAUGUCGGAUACAUACUGUAGAUGUGUGCUCUGAUCAAGUGCUGUAGGCCUACUGGGGUGAUAGCCUUCAAUUUCACUCUUUCAGCCUCACUGGUAUUCUCCAGCAUUUUAAAAGCCUUGGUUUUUAUUAAGGACAGCCCUUUGUGAACAGAGGGAUGCAAGAGUGCAAUGAAAACAUUCUGAAAUUUGAAAUGAAAACAAGGAAACAUACACGCAAAACACAUACAUACACAUGCAGGUAGCCUAGUGGUUAGAGGGGUAGGUUAUUGGUUAGAGCGUUGGGCUCUAACUAUUGAAUCCCCGAGCUGACAAGGUAAAAAUCUGUCGUUCUGCCCCUGAACAAGGUAGUUAACCCACGGCUUCCCAGUAGGCCGUCAUUGUAAAUAAGAAUUUGUUCUUAACUGACUUGCCUAGUUAAAUAAAGUUCAAAUGUAAACAAACACACACACACACAACUGUAGUAUCUAAGAAACUAUUUUGAAUAGACAUAAAGCAGUUGUCCAAGACAAAGGCCUUCUUUGCCACUGGAUUUCAGAGUAACCAGUAGCCUGUUAUCUCUAAAUGAAAGAAUAACAUAGAGAAAAUAGGCAGCACAGACAGAUAUACAGUAUCUUAAAUUCAGAUUUUUGCUUCUGUCUUUCAAAUUAAUUGAUUUUU